rnacentral:misc_RNA from 1 species
GAUGAAGAACGUAGCGAAAUGCGAUACUUGGUGUGAAUUGCAGAAUCCCGUGAACCAUCGAGUCUUUGAACGCAAGUUGCGCCCGAAGCCAUUAGGCCGAGGGCACGCCUGCCUGGGCGUCACACGUCGUUGCCCCCCCAUCUACUCCUUCGGGAUUGCGGGGGGCGGAUGAUGGCCUCCCGUGCGCCUCGUCGCGCGGUUGGCGUAAAUGCCAAGUCCUCGGCGACACACGCCACGACAAUCGGUGGUUGCGAAACCUCGGUUGCCCGUCGUGUGCGGUCGUCGCGCAUCGAGGGCUCGAAAAAAUUGCCGGGCUCCGGCUCGGCUUUCAACGCGACCCCAGGUCAGGCGGGGUUACCCGCUGAAUUUAAGCAUAUCAAUAAGCGGAGGA